CACACCCCGUGAGAAGGUGACAUUUUGAAGACUUUUUGAGAACCGACAAGGAAAGGGUAAGUUUUAGUUUUUUUAUCCCCUAUUCUAAAGACCCUUUUAUUUGUUUUACAUUUUUAAGACAGUUUUGGUGGGUAGAUCGGAUUUAAUAUUGCAGAUAGAUUGUAGCUUCCAUCAAUGUAAUUGUCUGCAUCAUUUCCAACCCCCCAUAUUUUUGGGCAAAUAUAUAUAUAUAUAUACACACAUAUAUGUAUGUGUGUAUGUAUAGAUUUAUGUAUGUAUAUGUAUAUACACACACACACACACAUAUGUGUAUAUAUAUGUGUGUGUGUAUAUAGUUGAAGUCGGAAGUUUACAUACACUUAGGUUGGAGUCAUUAACUCGUUUUUCAACUCCUCCACAAAUUUCUUGUUAACAAACUAUAGUUUAGGCAAGUCGGUUAGGACAUCUACUGUGCGUGACACAAGUCAUUUUUCCAACAAUUGUUUACAGACAGAUUAUUUCACUUAUAAUUCACUGUAUCACAAUUCCAGUGGGUCAGAAGUUUACAUACACUAAGUUGACUGUGCCUUUAAACAACUUGGAAAAUUCCAGAAAAUUAUUUCAUGGCUUUAGAAGCUUCCAUUAGGCUAAUUGACAUCAUUUGAGUCAAUUGGAGGUGUACCUGUGGAUGUAUUUCAAGGCCCACCUUCAAACUCAGUGCCUCUUUGCUUGACAUUAUGGGAAAAUCAAAAUAUAUCAGCCAAGACCUCAGAAAACAAAUUGGAGACCUCCACAAGUCUGGUUCAUCCUUGGGAACAAUUUCCAAACGCCUGAAGGUACCACGUUCAUCUGUACAAACAAUAGUAUGCAAGUAUAAACACCAUGGGAUCACGCAGCAUACCGCUCAGGAAGGAGACACGUUCUGUCUCCUAGAGAUGCAUGUACUUCAGUGCGAAAAGUGCAAAUCAAUCCCAGAACAACAGCAAAGGACCAUGUGAAGAUGCUGGAGGAAACAGGUACAAAAGUAUCGAUAUCCACAGUAAAACGAGUCCUAUAUCGACGUAACCAGAAAGGCCGCUCAGAAAGGAAUAAGCAACUGCUCCAAAACCGCCAUAGAACUGUUUAGCCAUAAUGACCAUCGUUAUGUUUGGAGGAAAAAGGGGGAGGCUUGCAAGCCGAAAAACACCCAUCCCAACCGUGAAGCACGGGGGUAGCAGCAUCAUGUUGUGGGGGUGCUUUGCUGCAGGAGAGACUGGUGCACUUCACAAAAUAGAUGGCAUCAUGACGUAGGAAAAUGAUGUCGCUAUAUUGAAGCAACAUCUCAAGACAUCAGUCAGGACGUUAAAGCUUGGUCGCAACUGGGUCUUCCAAAUCGACUAUUUUUAUUUUAUUUUAUUUCACCUCUAUUUAACCAGGUAGGCAAGUUGAGAACAAGUUCUCAUUCACAAUUGCGACCUGGCCAAGAUAAAGCAAAGCAGUUCGACACAUACAACAACACAGUUACACAUGGAGUAAAACAAACAUACAGUCAAUAAUACAGUAAAAAAAUAAGUCUAAAUACAAUGUGAGUAAAAGAGGUGAGAUGAGGGAGGUAAAGGCAAAAAAAGGCCAUGGUGACGAAGUAAAUACAAUAUAGCAAGUAAAACACGAAUGGUCGAUUUGCAGUGAAAGAAUGUGCAGAGUAGAAAUAGAAAAAAUGGGGUGCAAAAACGCUAAAUAAAUAAAUACAGUAGGGGGAGAGGUAGUUAUUUGGGCUAAAUUAUAGAUGGGCUAUGUACAGGUGCAGUAAUCUGUAAACUGCUCUGACCGCUAGUGAGGGAGAUAAGUGUUUCCAGUUUUAGAGAUUUUUGUAGUUUGUUCCAGUCAUUGGCAGCAGAGAACUGGAAGGAGAGGCCACCAAAGGAAGAAUUGGUUUUGGGGGUGACCAGAGAGAUAUACCUGCUGGAGCGCGUGCUACAGGUGGGUGCUGCUAUGGUGACCAGCGAGCUGAGAUAAGGGGGGACUUUACCUCGCAGGGUCUUGUAGAUGACCUGGAGCCAGUGGGUUUGGCGAUGAGUAUCAAGCAAGGGCAAGCCAACGAGAGCGUACAGGUCACAGUGGUGGGUAGUAUAUGGUGCUUUGGUGACAAAACGGAUGGCACUGUGUUAGACUGCAUCCAAUUUAUUGAGUAGGGUAUUGGAGGCUAUUUUGUAAGUGACAUCGCCGAAGUCGAGGAUCGGUAGGAUGGUCAGUUUUACAAGGGUAUGUUUGGCAGCAUGAGUGAAGGAUGCUUUGUUUUGCGAAAUAGGAAGCCAAUUCUAGAUUUAACUUUGGAUUGAAGAUGUUUGAUGUGAGUCUGGAAGGAGAGUUUACAGUCUAACCACACACCAGGUAGUUGUCCACAUAUUCUAAGUCAGAACCUUCCAGAGUAGUGAUGUUGGACGUUUGGGGUGGUGCAAGCAGCGAUCGGUUGAAGAGCAUGCAUUUAGUUUUACUUGUAUUUAAGAGCAAUUGGAGGCCACGUAAGGAGAGUUGUAUGGCAUUGAAGCUUGCCUGGAGGGGUGUUAACACAGUGUCCAAAGAAGGGCCAGAAGUAUACAGAAUGGUGUCGUCUGCGUAGAGGUGGAUCAGAGACUCACCAGCAGCAAGAGCGACAUCAUUGAUGUAUACAGAGAACCGAGUCGGUCCAAGAAUUGAACCCUGUGGCACCCCCAUAAAGACUGCCAGAGGCCCGGACAACAGGCCCUCCGAUUUGACACACUGAACUCUAUCAGAGAAGUAGUUGGUGAACCAGGCGAGGCAAUCAUUUGAUAAACCAAGGCUAUCGAGUCUGCCGAUGAGGAUGUGGUGAUUGACAUAGUCAAAAGUCUUGGCCAGGUCAAUGAAUACAGCUGCACAGUAUUGUUUCUUAUCGAUGGUGGUUAGGAUAUCGUUUAGGACCUUGAGCGUGGCUGAGGUGCACCCAUGACCAGCUCUGAAACCAGAUUGCAUAGCGGAGAAGGUAUGGUGGGAUUCGAAAUGGUCGGUGAUCUGUUUGUUGACUUAGCUUUCGAAGACCUUAGAAAGGCAGAGUAGGAUAGAUAUAGGUCUGUAGCAGUUUGGGUCAAGAGUGUCCUCCCCUUUGAAGAGGGGGAUGACCGCAGCUGCUUUCCAAUCUUUGGGGAUCUCAGAUGACACAAAAGAGAGGUUGAACAAGCUAGUAAUAGGGGUUGCAACAAUUUCGGCAGAUAAUUUUAGAAAGAAAGUGUCCAGACUGUCUAGCCCAGCUGUUUUGUAGGGGUCCAGAUUUUGCUGUUCUUUCAGAACAUCAGCUGACUGGAUUUGGGAGAAGGAGAAAAAGGAGAAGGCUUGGGCGAGUUGCUGUGGGGGAUGCAGUGUUGAUGACCGGGGUAGGGGUAGCCAGGUGGAAAGCAUGGCCAGCCGUAGAAAAAUGCUUAUUGAAAUCUCAAUUAUAGUGGAUUUAUCGGUGGUGACAGUGUUUGAGGUCCUCAGUGCAGUGGGCAGCUGGGAGGGAGGUGUUCUUAUUUUCCAUGGACUUUACAGUGUCCCAGAACUUUUUUGAGUUUGUGUUGCAGGAAGCAAAUUUCUGCUUGAAAAAGCUAGCCUUGGCUUUUCUAACUGCCUGUGUAUAUUGGUUUCUAGCUUCCCUGAAAAGUUGCAUAUCACGGGGGCUGUUCGAUGCCAACGCCAUAGGAUGUUUUUGUGUCGGUUAAAUUUCUUGAAUGGGGCAUGCUUAUUUUUUUUAAAUAACCAGGCAUCCUCUACUGACGGGAUGAGAUAAAAAAAAAUAAAAAAAGUAGAAUUUCAAAUUGCUUGGUUACAGACCUGGAUAGUAGGACAUAACUCUGCAGCUUAUCUUUGCAGUAGAUUGCAACACCGCCCCCUUUGGCUGUUCUAUCUUGUCUGAAAAUGUUGUAGUUAGGAAUGGAGAUUUCAGAAUUUUUGGUGGUCUUUCGAAGCCAGGAUUCAGACACGGCUAGAACAUCCAGGUUGGCAGAGUGUGCUAAAGCAGUGAAUAAAAUAAACUUAGGGAGGAGGCUUCUAAUGUUAACAUGCAUGAAACCAAGGCUAUUACGGUUACAGAAGUCAUCAAAAGAGAGCACCUGGGGAAUAGGAGUGGAGCUCGGCACUGCAGGGCCUGGAUUCACCUCUACAUCACCAGAGGAACAGAGGAGGAGUAGGAUAAGGGUAUGGCUAAAAGCUAUGAGAAUUGGUCGUCUAGAACGUCCGGAACAGAGAGUAAAAUUAGGUUUCUGGGGGCGAUAAAAUAGCUUCAAGGUAUAAUGUACAGACAAAGGUAUGGUAGGAUAUGAAUACAGUGGAGGUAAACCUAGGUAUUGAGUGAUGAUGAGAGAGAUAUUGUCUCUAGAAACAUCAUUGAAACCUGGUGAUGUCAUCGCAUGUGUGGGUGGUGGAACUGAAACGUUGGAUAAGGUAUAAUGAGCAGGGCUAGAGGCUCUACAGUGAAGUAAGCCAAUAAACACUAACCAGAAGAAGCAAUGGACAAGACAUAUUGACAUUAAGAAGAGGCAUGCUUAGUCGAGUGAUCAUAAGGGUCCAGUGAGUCGUGAGGUUGGUUGGGGUAACGGCAAUUCAGGCAGCUAGCCGGGCCAUCGGUAGCAAGCUAGCAUAGGAUGGAGGUCUGUUUUUAGCCACCUUGUGCGUUUCCGACGGUAGAUUAGUGGGGUUCCGUGUGGUAGAGGGGAUCAAUCCAAUUGGCAAAAUAGAUAUAGUUAUAGUGACCCAAGAAAAAUAGUCUGAUAGACCUAUUCAGAUAGCAGCUGAUAAGACAGCUAACGGUUAGUGGGGCCGUAGAUGGGCGUUCAGGUAACGUCGCGACGGAGGGGCCAGUUGGAUAACUCCCUCGGGCAGGUAACGUCGGUAGUCCAGUCGUGAAGGCCCGGUGGGCCUCCGCAUCAGCAAUAAAAAUGGGUCCGGAUAGGUGAUUGUAGCCCAGGAGUGGCUGAUGGAACUCUUCAGCUGGCUACCUCCGGAAUAAUUGAUGUUUGCUCCAGGAUCGACAUAAGCUAAUAGUCCUUCUCUCUACUAUUAUUCUGACAUUUCACAUUCUUAAAAUAAAAUGGUGAUCCUAACUGACCUAAGACAGGGUAUUUUUUACUAGGAUUACAUUUCAGGAAUUGUGAAAAAUUGAGGCUUUUUAUUUUGGCUAAGGUGUAUGUAAACUUCCGACAACUGUACAUAUCUUUAAAAUAUAUAUAUUUUCCUUUAUUCCUUUCUAACCCUACCAUUCCUCUCCUAAUUGGAGUAAACUAGUGAACAACAAUGCUUAGGCUUCUACUUACAGAUUAUACAUACUAUAUACAUUUUAUGGACACAGUUCAUUUUACAAUUGUUCUAUUUAGUUUGUUUUUACUCUGUGUCCUUCCUCUACCUCUCCCAUUAUUUCUAAUAUCCAUCCAGUUUGAAUUAUAUUUGCUGUAUCUUUCAAACUGUGCUCUUUGACAAACGUUCUUAACCUAUUUAUGUUUUACAGACACAGUAUCUUUUACAUGAGUUAUCUUGUUAUUAGUUUCUAUUAGUCCCAACCUUCAACUCCAUUCAACCCCUCCCAUCUAUCUCUUAACUAUCUCUCUUUCUAUUUGCCAUAUAUUUAUCAUCUGUGCUGUGAUGUUUCACAAAAGUUCUGAACAUUUCUAUUCUCAUUGUUUCUACAGAUUGUACAUUUAAUUUUUUGUUUUUGCUAAAAUUAUUAUAAUAUUAUUGGUCGAUUGACUAUGACUUUUCAGAUCACCCAGUAGUGCGAUCUGCAGGGUUAGCUCAAGGUAAAUAUAGCAAUUCUUCAGCCAUUCCUGGACCUGUGACCAAAAACAAGCUACAUAUGGACAGUACCAAAACAAAUGGUCUAAUGAUUCUGUCUCUUCGCAGCAAAAUCUGCAGAGCUGGGAUGGCUGCUGUAUCCCAUUAUAUAUAACAUUCUAUUGGUUGCAAUAAUUUUGUAAAUCAUUUAAAUUGAACAAUUCUAAGUUUUGAAUCUGGCGUCGUUUUCCGUAUCAAUUCAUAAACCAUGUGCCAUGGAAUCGGUACGUCAAAAAAAAAUCUCUUCUCAACUAUUUUGCGAUCUAUAUGGCACGGGUGUCAUUUAAAAAAUAAAUCUGGUAUACUUGUUUUCAUCCAUCAAAAAUGUCUUUAACCAAUUAUGGUUAUGGUCUUUAAUGCAGGGCCGACAGACAAGUUCCUUACUUUUUCCCCCUUCCACUUUCAUUUUUGAUGCAAUGCUGCAAUUAGUUGGUUGUAAUUUUGGGUAGAGCAGACAUUUCCAUAUGUUUUUGUUAGCUGCAUGUGUGACAACUCCACCUGUCCUAUUUAUGAUUUCAUUUACGAAGAUUAUACCUUCUUUUUAAAAAUAAAAAACAUGUAUUUUUUAUUUUUUAUCAAUUAGUAUAUUUGAGUUUAACCACAAUAUUUGUUCUAUUAUUUGUUCUGUCUUUUCUGGUGGAUUAAACAGAAAUUGAUAGAAACACAAGUUUUCAUCACUGACAUGAGAAAGAUUUAUUUACAAUUGAAAAGGUUUGUAGGAGACACAAAAUAAAGAUAAAUCAAUAUCUUUGUGUGAAGGUGUUAUUUCUUGUAACAUUUCAGGCCUAAAUUCAGUAAAAAUAUAUGUAUUUUUUUGUUUUACUAUUAUACAAAAUUGAAGUUUAAGACGAACCACUCACUCACACGACGCCAUACACAUGGUCUGCGGUUGUGAGGCCGGUUCGACGUACUGCCAAAUUCUCUAAAACAACGUUGGAGGUGGCUUAUGGUAGAAAAAAAUCUGGCAACAGCUCUGGUGGACAUUCCUGCAGUCAGAAAAGCUCCCUCAACUUGAGACAUCUGUGGAAUUGUGUUGAGACAAACUGCACAUUUUAGCAUGGCCUCUUAUUGUCCUCGGAGCAAGGUGCACCUGGGUAAUGAUCAUGCUGUUGAAUCAGCUUCUUGAUAUACCACACCGGUCAGGUGGAUUGGUUAUCUCGGCUAAGGAGAAAUGCUCAUUAACAGGGAUGUAAACUAAUUUGUACACAAAAUUUGAGAAAUAUGCUUUUUGUGUGAAUGGAACAUUUCAUGGAUCUUUUAUUUCAGCUCAUGAAACAUGGGACCAACACUUUACAUGUUGCUUUUAUAUCUUUGUUCAGUGUAUUUAGAGGUCUUUUGGCUUGGGGGUAAAAACUGUUCAGGAUCCUGUUGCUUCCAGACUCGGUGCAUCAGUACCGCUUGCAGUGCGGUAGCAGAGAGAACAGUCUAUGACUUGGGUGGCUGGAGUCUUGGAGAAGUUUUGGGGCAUUCCUCUGACACCACCUGGCAUAGAGGUCCUUGAAGCCCCCUCCUGCUGUUCAGAGACUGGCAUUUUCUACAAGAAAUCUGCCUCCAGAAAUAAAAGCUUCUCCCAAGUGGGUGUGACACCUACUCCCAUUGCCUGCUGCUUGGAUUCCACCUAGCGAUCUGUUCACCAUCUGCCUUGGUUGUCUCCCCCUGUCUGGUACAGGGGGAGACAUGGCGCUAGAUGUGUAUCUAGUUACAUAGAAACUACAGUGGCAAUGUCAUUUAUUGUAGCUGGGGAUUUUCUCUCUAUUGGUUAGACAGACUUUUGGCCUCCCAUCCUAUUCUAACCACCUCUCUCCGGCUUUGUAUUCAUGUUACCUGAUGAAAUUGCUACAAUAUGAUCUUGUUGCCAGCUGAUGCACAUUGAUGUCAUAAAUCAACACUGCAGAGCUCUCCCUGUCCUAUGCCUUGAUUGUAUUACUGUUGAUGAUAUCUGGAAAUGUGCAUGUACUCCCUGGCCCAUCUAAUGUUGCUGGCCCCAAUUCCUAUUUGUGCUCUGAUAUCUGCUUCACUGAUUUCUGCUCUCGCAAAAGCCUGGGUUUUCUGCAUGUGAAACCUAGAAGCUUAUUACCUAAAAUGGAUCAAUUGAAAGUGUGGGUUCACAGCUCCAAUCCAGAUGUGUUGGUCAUUACUGAGAUGUGGUUAAGGAAGAGCAAGACAGAUCUUCUGAAAGGUGGGGGGAGUGGCAAUCUUUACCAAGGAUCACCUUCAGUGCUCGGUUGUCUCCACCAAGUUGGUCCCUGAACAAUUUGAUUUGUUGGUUUUAAGUAUUAAACUUUCAAAUAGCUCUUUGUUGACUGUUGCUGGAUGCUAUAUCGUCCUCCAUCAGCACCGGCUUGUACCCUACCUGCCCUAAGCGCUCUCCUGGCCCCUUACACUAAGUCUGAUUUUUGUCCUGCUAGGUGACCUAAUCUAGGACAUGCUUAAACCACCUGACCAAGUCUUAGAGCAAUGGGACCCCUAAAUCGUUAUCAGAUUAUUACAAAUCCCACAAGGUAUAUGACUCCAAACACCCGGAAAAGGCUAAUCUUCUUGAUGUUAUCCUCACAAAUAAUCCUGAUAGGUAUCAGUCUGGUGUUUUCUGUAAGGACCUUAGGUGAUCACUUUUUUACAGCCUGUGUUCGUAAUGGCUUCUCAGUGAAACGACGCUUGCUAAAAAAUGAGCAAACCUUCCUUCAUGAACUGGCCUCUGUAAAAUGGUAUAGAAUCAGGUUGAUCCCCGCUGUCGAAGACACUUGGACCUUCGUUUUUGAUAUUUUCAGUAGUAUUGUUAACAAACACGCCCCUGUAAAGAAAAUGAGAUUUAAAAACCGGUUUAGCCUCUGUUUCGACAUUGAUCUUGCAGAGUUACUCCACCUCAAGAAUUGCAUUUGGUGAAUGGCUCGGCACACACAUACUCAGGCUGACUGGCUCUUGUUCAGGCAAAUGAGAAAUGAGUGCACACAGGCUAUCCGGAAGGCCAAGGUUAGUUACUUUAGGGAGAAGUUCUCACUUUUUGGGUAAAACCCCAAAAAGUUCUGAAAAAUGGUUAAAGACCUGGAGAAUAAACCCUCCUCCUCACAGCUGCCCAUGUGCCUUAAAGUUGAUGAUGUGGUUGUUACUGACAAGAAACACAUGGCUGAGCUCUUCAAUCCUGGCCACUUCAUUAAGUCAGGAUUCCGAUUUGACUCAGCCAUGCCUCCUUGCUCGUCCAACAUAAAACCCUCUUAUGCCUCACUCCCCCCUAUCUGAGAUAUCUACUGCAGCCCUCAUUCUCCACAUACAACUCCCGUUCUGCCAGUCACAUUCUGUUAAAGGUCCCCAAAGCACACACAUCGCUGGGUCGCUCGUCUUUUCAGUUUGCUGCAGCUAGCGACUGGAACGAACUGCAACAAACACUCAAACUGGACAGUUUUUAUCUCAAUCUCUUCAUUCAAAGACUCAACCAUGGGCUCUCUUACUGACAGAUGGGCCUGCUUUGUGUGAUGUAUUGUCUCUACCUUCAUGUCUUUGUGCUGUUGUCUGUGCACCGGGAUGUUUGUACUAUUUUUGUAUGCUGCUACCAUGUUGUUGUCAUGUUCUGUUGAUACCAUGCAUGUUCUGUUGCUACCAUGCUGUGUUGUCAUGUGUUGCUGCCUUGCUAUGUUGUUGUCUUAGGUCUCUCUUUAUGUAGUGUUGUCUCUCUUGUCGGAAUGUGUGUUUUGUUGUCCUGGCACCACACUGCCAGGUCUCUGAUCUCUCAACAUGUUCUCCAGUCUCAUAAAACAUUUUAGAAAAAAGGCUACUUGUUAUUACUUGUUAAACAAAAUCAAUUUCUCUGAGAAAUUGUAUUAGUAUAACAUUAUUUUUUUAAAUGUAGCAUACAAUAUAGCUCAGUAUUUGUAUUAUUUAUUUUAAACUGACUUUUUUGCUGAUCUUUAUCAAGGGUGCCAAUAAUUAUGGACCUGACUGUCUGCCUAGAGUAUAUACAUUUGCUUAUAUAACAGAAACAGAGCAUGAGGGGAAAGUUGAUCGCGAGAAAAAGUAAUAUCCUGAAAGGGCUUAUCAAUCUAUUUGAUCAAAUGCUGUUUUUUCUAUAUAUUUAGUUCAGCUGAAAAUACACGUGGCAGAAUCCUCGGACAAGAUCACACUAUCACGUGUUGAUGGUUUCACUUUCAGCCCUAAUAAUGAAACUACUUAUAUAUUGGAUUACAAGGAUGAGAACACAGUGGAGUUUGUAUGCAAGAAAGACGGAAGGGAAGAUCGCAAAAUCUAUGUGAAAGGUCGGAGUAAGUACAGUACUGCCCCUUCCCUCAAUGUACAAUGAUAUGGCACAAGAAUUUAAGAAGUCAAUAUUUGUUUGUGUGUAUGCCAUUAUAAUACACGUCAUUAUAAUGUACAUGUGUGUAAGGGAUUGUGCGUGCGACUGCUUGCGUGCAUUGUGUGUAUGUAUGGCGUGUUUGUGUGUGUGUCCAGCCUGUGAUAAAUGCAUUAAACUGGAUACAGCUACGGCUGUAGGGAUGGUUGUGUGGGAGUCCUGGUGGCCACUGCCUGAUUGGAGUAGCUGUUUACUGCAUCGCCUCACAGCCCAAAGCAACACUAACCUCCGGGCAAGAAAAGUGAGUGUCCACACAAAAGAGAAAAACAUAGGAGUAUGUCAACUUGAGUUUGAAUGGUACCUGACGAGCCCCGACCCACUUUGUUGUUUUCUUUGUAUAUUGUGCAUUGAAUUUUGAAUUCUUAAAAAUGAAAUGUUUUACAGUAAACAUACAAAAAUAAUACACAUGAAGACCAUAAUCAAUCAUGUAAAGCAAUAUUUAAUUUAUCUCUUUCAUCCCUAGCAUCUAGCAAAAUGGGUCUCAUCCACAAUGAGGCCAGUGUCAACAAAAUAACUUGUCCACAAUGAGGUCAGUGUCAACAAAACAACUUGUCCACAAUGAGGUCAGUGUUAACAAAAUAACUUGUCCACAAUGAGGUCAGUGUUAACAAAACAACUUGUCCACAAUGAGGUCAGUGUUAACAAAACAACUUGUCCACAAUGAGGUCAGUGUUAACAAAACAACUUGUCCACAAUGAGGUCAGUGUUAACAAAAUAACUUGUCCACAAUGAGGUCAGUGUUAACAAAACAACUUGUCCACAAUGAGGUCAGUGUUAACAAAACAACUUGUCCACAAUGAGGUCAGUGUUAACAAAACAACUUGUCCACAAUGAGGUCAGUGUUAACAAAACAACUUGUCCACAAUGAGGUCAGUGUUAACAAAACAACUUGUCCACAAUGAGGUCAGUGUUAACAAAACAUCUUGUCCACAAUGAGGUCAGUGUUAACAAAACAACUUGUCCACAAUGAGGUCAGUGUUAACAAAACAACUUGUCCACAAUGAGGUCAGUGUUAACAAAACAUCUUGUCCACAAUGAGGUCAGUGUUAACAAAACAUCUUGUCCACAAUGAGGUCAGUGUUAACAAAACAACUUGUCCAC